CCCCCCGUUAAUUACGUUAGGGGGCCGAGCCGUUUCUCCGGAAAUUCACUUGGGCGUUAAAGGCGCCCGUUAGGCCGGCCCAGUCCAAGUUCAGGGGUUAAAAACCGGCGGCUUCUAACUCGUCAGGCUUGCCUCAUGAAACUGUCUGGCUUGAGGACAGGAGAGGGGAGCUGGAAUUCCCAGUGUAGCGGUGAAAUGCGUAGAUAUUGGGAGGAACACCAGUGGCGAAGGCGGCUCCCUGGCCUGCACCUUGAAGCUGAAGGCSCGAAAGCCUGGGGAGCAAACAGGAUUAGAUACCCUGGUAGUCCACGCCGUAAACGAUGGGUACUAGGUGUUGGGUGU
rnacentral:rRNA from 1 species